rnacentral:misc_RNA from 1 species
CACCCCUCAAGCCUGGCUUGGUAUUGGGCGUCGCGGGCCUCGCCCGCGCGCCUUAAAGUCUCCCCGGCUGGACCGUUUGUCCCUAAAGCGUCGUGCAAAACCUCGCGGUGGGAUUUGAUGGGCCGGCCGUUAAAUCUUUAUUCAAA